rnacentral:rRNA from 3 species
ACGGAGAGUUUGAUCCUGGCUCAGGAUGAACGCUGGCGGCGUGCUUAACACAUGCAAGUCGAACGAACCUUCGGGUUAGUGGCGGACGGGUGAGUAACGCGUGGGAAUCUGCCCUCAGGAGGGGGAUAACGGUUGGAAACGGCCGCUAAUACCCCAUAUGCCGAGAGGUGAAAUGAAUUUCGCCUGAGGAUGAGCCCGCGUCUGAUUAGCUAGUUGGUGAGGUAAUGGCUCACCAAGGCAUCGAUCAGUAGCUGGUCUGAGAGGAUGAUCAGCCACACUGGGACUGAGACACGGCCCAGACUCCUACGGGAGGCAGCAGUGGGGAAUUUUCCGCAAUGGGCGCAAGCCUGACGGAGCAACGCCGCGUGAGGGAUGAAGGCCUCUGGGCUGUAAACCUCUUUUCUCAAGGAAGAAGAUCUGACGGUACUUGAGGAAUAAGCCACGGCUAAUUCCGUGCCAGCAGCCGCGGUAAUACGGGAGUGGCAAGCGUUAUCCGGAAUUAUUGGGCGUAAAGCGUCCGCAGGCGGCUUUUCAAGUCUGCUGUUAAAGCGUGGAGCUUAACUCCAUCAAGGCAGUGGAAACUGAUUGGCUUGAGUGUGGUAGGGGCAGAGGGAAUUCCCGGUGUAGCGGUGAAAUGCGUAGAUAUCGGGAAGAACACCAGUGGCGAAGGCGCUCUGCUGGGCCAUAACUGACGCUCAUGGACGAAAGCCAGGGGAGCGAAAGGGAUUAGAUACCCCUGUAGUCCUGGCCGUAAACGAUGAACACUAGGUGUCGGGGGAAUCGACCCCCUCGGUGUCGUAGCCAACGCGUUAAGUGUUCCGCCUGGGGAGUACGCACGCAAGUGUGAAACUCAAAGGAAUUGACGGGGGCCCGCACAAGCGGUGGAGUAUGUGGUUUAAUUCGAUGCAACGCGAAGAACCUUACCAGGGUUUGACAUCCUGCGAAUCUCUUGGAAACGAGAGAGUGCCUUUGGGAACGCAGUGACAGGUGGUGCAUGGCUGUCGUCAGCUCGUGUCGUGAGAUGUUGGGUUAAGUCCCGCAACGAGCGCAACCCACGUUUUUAGUUGCCAGCAUUCAGUUGGGCACUCUAGAGAGACCGCCGGUGAUAAACCGGAGGAAGGUGUGGAUGACGUCAAGUCAUCAUGCCCCUUACAUCCUGGGCUACACACGUACUACAAUGCUACGGACAAAGGGCAGCAAGUUCGCGAGGACAAGCAAAUCCCAUAAACCGUGGCUCAGUUCAGAUCGUAGGCUGCAACUCGCCUACGUGAAGAAGGAAUCGCUAGUAAUCGCAGGUCAGCAUACUGCGGUGAAUACGUUCCCGGGCCUUGUACACACCGCCCGUCACACCAUGGAAGUUGGCCACGCCCGAAGUCGUUACUCCAACCCUUGUGGAGGAGGACGCCGAAGGUGGGGCUGAUGACUGGGGUGAAGUCGUAACAAGGUAUCCGUACCGGAAGGUGCGGAUGGAUCACCUCCUAA